rnacentral:rRNA from 1 species
CGAAGACACCGUUGAACUUCUGGUUAAAGAUUGACGUCUGAGCGUAUAACUAUAAUCAGUUAACCCCCCCAACAACGGAUCUCUUGGUUCCGACAUCGAUGAAGAACGCAGCGAAAUGCGAUAAGUAAUGUGAAUUGCAGAAUUCCGUGAAUCAUCGAAUCUUUGAACGCACAUUGCGCCCUCUGGUAUUCCGGGGGGCAUGCCUGUCCGAGCGUCAUUGCAACCCUCAAGCGCGGCUUGUGUGUUGGGCCCUCGUCCCCCCGUGGACGUGCCCGAAAUGCAGUGGCGGCGUCGUGUUCCGGUGCCCGAGCGUAUGGGGCUUUGUCACCCGCUCUUGGAGGCCCGGCCGGCCCCGGCCCAUCGACCAUCGAGGACUCGUUCCUCAACCAGGUUGACCUCGGAUCAGGUAGGGAUACCCGCUGAACUUAAGCAUAUCAAUAAGCGGAGGAA